rnacentral:rRNA from 1 species
ACUCCUACGGGAGGCAGCAGUAGGGAAUCUUCCACAAUGGACGAAAGUCUGAUGGAGCAACGCCGCGUGAGUGAAGAAGGGUUUCGGCUCGUAAAACUCUGUUGUUAAAGAAGAACAUAUCUGAGAGUAACUGUUCAGGUAUUGACGGUAUUUAACCAGAAAGCCACGGCUAACUACGUGCCAGCAGCCGCGGUAAUACGUAGGUGGCAAGCGUUGUCCGGAUUUAUUGGGGCGUAAAGCGAGCGCAGGCGGUUUUUAAAGUCUGAUGUGAAAGCCUUCGGCUCAACCGAAGAAGUGCAUCGGAAACUGGGAAACUUGAGUGCAGAAGAGGACAGUGGAACUCCAUGUGUAGCGGUGAAAUGCGUAGAUAUAUGGAAGAACACCAGUGGCGAAGGCGGCUGUCUGGUCUGUAACUGACGCUGAGGCUCGAAAGUAUGGGUAGCAAACAGGAUUAGAGUACCCUGGUAGGAUAGCG